ACAGCCUAUGAUGAGGAUGUUUCCCACUCAUGUUCGAGUUUCCCAACUAUGAGAUGACUCUACAUGCACUACCAUCUGAGGCUUG
ensembl:snoRNA SNORD33 Small nucleolar RNA Z195/SNORD33/SNORD32 family